CCUACGGGCGGCAGCAGUGAGGAAUAUUGGUCAAUGGGCUUACGCCUGAACCAGCCAAGUCGCGUGAGGGAAGACUGCACUAUGGGUUGUAAACCUCUUUUGUCAGGGAGCAAUUGGCGCUACGUGUAGCGUUAUCGAGAGUACCUGAAGAAAAAGCAUCGGCUAACUCCGUGCCAGCAGCCGCGGUAAUACGGAGGAUGCGAGCGUUAUCCGGAUUUAUUGGGUUUAAAGGGUGCGUAGGCGGAAUGCCAAGUCAGCGGUAAAAUCGCGGGGCUCAACCUCGCUCCGCCGUUGAAACUGGCGGUCUUGAGUGGGCGAGAAGUAUGCGGAAGGCGUGGUGUAGCGGUGAAAUGCAUAGAUAUCACGCAGAACUCCGAUUGCGAAGGCAGCAUACCGGCGCCCAACUGACGCUGAGGCACGAAAGCGUGGGUAUCGAACAGGAUUAGAUACCCCAGUAGUC
rnacentral:rRNA from 1 species